CAGAGAGCAGAUCUCCCAGUAGAGAUUCUUCCCCUUAGACAGCCGGCCCUUAAAUGAGGUUAGGGAGGGCUGGGACCAGGCUCCACCCCUUUUCUGCACAGGUGAAACGCUUCCAGCUGUGCUCCUCAGCAGACCAUGUUUUAACAAAGGUGAAAGCCUGUGAAACAAAAGAAUCCCUUCUUACUUGUUUCACGUUUGUGUUUGUUGACCGCAGUUCCAACCAGGUGGACUCUCAAUGUCUUGCAAGCGACACCUAGAAGCAGGUACAGGCAGGAGGCACAGCACCCUGCAACCUCCAGGGGCCUUUGUGCAAAUGUUCAUGUCCUAGAAGCACGUGGCGGAGCACGUCCUGGGAUCAAGGUGCCAUGGACUGGAAAAUGCAGCUCUGGACAUACAGGCUUGGCGGAGUUCCUGUGUGAAGACAAAACUCCCAGUACUCCAGAAACGUGGAGGCAGAAGAGCAGUGACAAGG